AUUGAACGCUGGCGGCAGGCUUAACACAUGCAAGUCGAGCGAGCGGCGGACGGGUGAGUAAUGUCUGGGAAACUGCCUGAUGGAGGGGGAUAACUACUGGAAAAGGUAGCUAAUACCGCAUACCAUCAGAUGUGCCCAGAGGGGAUUAGCUAGUAGGUGUGGUAAUGGCUCACCUAGGCGACGAUCCCUAGCUGGUCUGAGAGGAUGACCAGCCACAAGGGAACUGUGACACGGUCCAGACUCCUAACGGAGGCAGCAGUGGGAAAUAUUGCACAAUGGGCGCAAGCCUGAUGCAGGCAUGCCGCGUGUAUGAAGAAGUCCUUCGGGUUGUAACGUACUUUCAGCGGGGAGGCGUUAACCGCAGAAGAAGCACCGGCUAACUCCGUGCCAGCAGCCGCGGUAAUUC
rnacentral:rRNA from 1 species